rnacentral:rRNA from 1 species
UACAGAGGGGGCAAGCGUUGUUCGGAAUUACUGGGCGUAAAGGGCGCGUAGGCGGCCUGCUAAGUCGAACGUGAAAUCCCUGGGCUCAACCCAGGAACUGCGUCCGAUACUGGUUGGCUUGAAUCCGGGAGAGGGAUGUGGAAUUCCAGGUGUAGCGGUGAAAUGCGUAGAUAUCUGGAGGAACACCGGUGGCGAAGGCGACAUCUUGGACCGGUAUUGACGCUGAGGCGCGAUAGCCAGGGGAGCAAACGGG